UUCACUCUCAAGUUCGAUACCCACUCGUUUUUCUUUUUCUUUUCUGAAGAUAUCCUAGUUUCAAUUUUGUUUUCUUUCCACGAGACAUGGGGUUUAUUUGGAAGUAGAAGAUUGGGACUUUGAAUAAUAAGAAGCGUAAGUGUAGGAGAAUAGUUCAUGGUGCCAGCCAUAGCUCCAGGGUAUUGGGAAAAAACCCCCUAGCAAAAUAAUAUUCACGGUACUAAAAGCGGAAUAAUAAUGUAGCACCGAGAUACGAUAAUUAACAAGAAUAAAAGAAUAACAAUGACACCAAGAUUUUUACGUGGAAGACCACUACAACACUCAAAAGAAAAUAACCAUCUUUUGAUAUCCCACCUCACUACAAUAUCG
rnacentral:lncRNA from 1 species